UAAGAGUAUUUUGACUAAUUUUUCAAAAAUCUAGCCCGACUCUACAAAAUAAAAAAAAAGUGGUCUAGAUUUACAAAAACUCAGAACUUAUCGAGAUAAUUUUUCUACUGGUGCAACAUAAUUUAUCAUCCAAAUAAAACAUAUAACAGUUAUACUACGCACGCCAUGAUCUCUCACACGUAACUCAUCCAAUUAAGGCUUCGUUUGGGAUUGCGGGGAGAUUGCGUUACGAGCAGUGAGAAAGUACGUUGGAAAAAUACCAUUGUAUGUUUCCGUACGUAAUAUUGCGUUCCGUAUAUCGCGAUGAGCCGGUUACGAUAUAUUUUCUGCGUUCACACUAAAGAACACAGAAGCAUAUUCCUAUAUGCUUUUUUAUAACUCCAUUUUAUCUAAUAACGUUUGAUAGGCCUCAAUACCAAAUUAAGCCUAAUACUCAUCACGCCUCCUCAAAACAAGUUCCCACUCAAAAAAAUUUCAUUAACAUUGUUCACCAUAUCACUUGU
rnacentral:lncRNA from 1 species